rnacentral:rRNA from 1 species
GAUGAGCGCUGGCGGCGUGCCUAAUACAUGCAAGUCGAGCGAACAGAUGAGGAGCUUGCUCCUCUGACGUUAGCGGCGGACGGGUGAGUAACACGUGGAUAACCUACCUAUAAGACUGGGAUAACUUCGGGAAACCGGAGCUAAUACCGGAUAAUAUAUUGAACCGCAUGGUUCAAUAGUGAAAGACGGUUUUGCUGUCACUUAUAGAUGGAUCCGCGCCGCAUUAGCUAGUUGGUAAGGUAACGGCUUACCAAGGCAACGAUGCGUAGCCGACCUGAGAGGGUGAUCGGCCACACUGGAACUGAGACACGGUCCAGACUCCUACGGGAGGCAGCAGUAGGGAAUCUUCCGCAAUGGGCGAAAGCUUGACGGAGCAACGCCGCGUGAGUGAUGAAGGUCUUCGGAUCGUAAAACUCUGUUAUUAGGGAAGAACAAAUGUGUAAGUAACUAUGCACGUCUUGACGGUACCUAAUCAGAAAGCCACGGCUAACUACGUG